UACGUAGGCAGCAAGCGUUGUUCGGAAUUACUGGGCGUAAAGAGUGUGCAGGCGGUGUUCUAAGUCUGGUGUGAAAUCUCCCGGCUCAACUGGGAGGGUGCGCUAGAAACUGGAAUGCUAGAGGAUGGGAGAGGUAAGCGGAAUUCCUGGUGUAGCGGUGAAAUGCGCAGAUAUCGAGAAGAACACCUGCGGCGAAGGCGGGUUGCUGGGCUGACACUGACGCUGACAGCGCGAAAGCUAGGGGAGCGAACGGG
rnacentral:rRNA from 1 species